GAUGAUAUCAAUCAAGUGAAGCAGCUAUCACAGGGUCUGGAACAUAGUACAUCCCAGCCUUCUUGCACAUAGAAACACUACACAGCACUUCAGCUGUAUGUUUGGGGGCCAUUUUAAACAGCAAAAUCAUCAACAGGAAGCAGAAAAUUGUAAAAAUUGUGGCACUAAAUAGACCAUGUAAAGGACACAUGUUUGCAAUAAGAAAGCUGAAACAAGAAGGGGGAGUGUCACCUUAUUUGAUCCAGCUAGAAACUCAGGUGCUGGUAUUCCAGCAACACUCAGGCGGCUGCUCCAGGAGGCUGCAGAGGGGUCCUUUUUAGCCGUCAACAAAACUGGCUAUGGUCACGCCCAUUGGGAAACUCAUUGCUGCCUUCAAGUUAGGUUCUGUCAAUAGAAGAUACUAAAGAAAGAAAGCCAGGAGAAGAAAAGGGACUUCUUUCUUCAAGGUCUAAGCUGUUCUAAUAGCAUUAUUCUGGGAAUGGCAUCUUCCACUCCUCCUAGUACAAAGAACCUGCUUCCUCAUACCCCGUCAAGGAACUGCAGCAUCCAGGUACUUUCUCUGCCUCAAAGGUCUGCAUCCCAUUCUCCAUUUGGCCCCUCCUUUGAACUACCAGAUCUCCGGCUGGAUUGCCUUUUUGUUCUGGAAUUUUCUAAAUUUCUUUAUUAAAUUUCCCAGUUGAAAUUCCCAA
ensembl:lncRNA LINC01905 long intergenic non-protein coding RNA 1905